GACGAACGCUGGCGGCGUGCUUAACACAUGCAAGUCGAACGGAAAGGCCCUGCUCUUGUGGGGUUCUCGAGUGGCGAACGGGGGAGUAACACGCGAGUAACCUGCCCUUGACUUUGGGAUAACUUCAGGAAACUGGGGCUAAUACCGGAUAGGAGCUCCUGCUGCAUGGUGGGGGUUGGAAAGUUUCGGCGGUUGGGGAUGGACUCGCGGCUUAUCAGCUUGAUGGUGGGGUAGUGGCUUACCAAGGCUUUGACGGGUAGCCGGCCUGAGAGGGUGACCGGCCACAUUGGGACUGAGAUACGGCACAGACUCCUACGGGAGGCAGAAGUGGGGAAGAUUGCACGAUGGGCGGAAGCCUGAUGAAGAAACGCCGCGUGCGGGAUAACGGCCUUCGGGGUGUAGACCGAAUUCGCCUGUAACGAAGCGUGAGUGACGGUAAUGGGUAAAGAAGGACCGGCUAAAUACGUG
rnacentral:rRNA from 1 species